UACGUAGGGGGCAAGCGUUGUCCGGAUUUAUUGGGCGUAAAGAGCGUGUAGGCGGCCUGGAAGGUCAGCUGUGAAAACUCGAGGCUCAACCUCGAGACGUCGGUUGAAACCACCUGGCUAGAGUCCGGAAGAGGAGAGUGGAAUUCCCGGUGUAGCGGUGAAAUGCGCAGAUAUCAGGAGGAACACCGGUGGCGAAGGCGGUUCUCUGGGCAUGUCCUGACGCUGAGGAGCGAAAGUGUGGGGAGCGAACAGG
rnacentral:rRNA from 1 species